GAAAUGCGAUAAGUAGUGUGAAUUGCAGAAUUCAGUGAAUCAUCGAAUCUUUGAACGCACAUUGCGCCCCUUGGUAUUCCAUGGGGCAUGCCUGUUCGAGCGUCAUUUGUACCCUCAAGCUCUGCUUGGUGUUGGGUGUUUGUCCCCGUCUCCGCGCGUGGACUCGCCCCAAAGUGAUUGGCCGCCGGCGUACUGGUCCCGGAGCGCAGCACAUGUCGCGCAAACGAGUGCCUUGGUACGGCGGCGUCCAUAAGCCCCUCUCUCACGCUCUUGACCUCGGAUCAGGUAGGGAUACCCGCUGAACUUAAGC
rnacentral:misc_RNA from 1 species